GUCCAUCUUAUCAGCCGAUCGUACCAGCCUGAAAUAUUCCUGAUUUCCAAUCGGUUCUAAAGACGCAUGUCCUUGGUUUGCUUCCGAUGGCUAUGAAUAAGGCUAUUGAAGAACUAGUUUCUACCGUUGUAGAG